CUUUCUUCAACCUCUGCCUUCUCCAUCCCAAACCCUAGAAGCAAUUAAUGGUGCACCACUACCAGUUGAAGCUGCCAGCAUGAUCUUAACUUUUCUCUUCUCUCUCUCCCUUUUUUUCGUUGAGGAAAGAUCAGAUCAUGCGGCAGUUUCACCUGUUGUUGGUCUGCCCUACCAAACCCUAAACAAAAAUUCUAUCUCUUUGCCCUACAUGGAUUCAGGUUUGUAUUUGUGCUAUUCCCACCACCAGUGGUGGUGGCAUAGAGGGCUUGUUGCCGAAUGGGGUUACCUCUCCCUAGUUCGAAGCUCGCGGGGUGUAUAGCCAGGGUUCCACCAUUUGGGGGCAACUUCCACAAUGUCGGUUAUAGCAGUGGGUGGUCAUUGAUAGCCCCGAUUACACGAGGAGCUUUUGGUGUAAGCUACAGGACAUCGAUUCCAGGUUAUAAAAAUAUAUAUAUAUGUAUAUAUUUGUGCUCUAAUUCCCAGCUAGGGUUUUCAAUUUUACUUCGGUUUUUUGUUUGUGGCUUAUAUACAAGAAAAAGGGUGUUUGUGUGUAGAAAACUUGUGGCAAAGCCCAAAGGGCACCCUAAUUAUUGAGAUUUUGGUGAUGCUAUUUGUCUGUUUGGUAUAUAGUUUUUGGGAUUGAUGCCAUAAAAAUUUUCACAUGUUGUGAAUGAUCUCUCAGCUCUCUGCCUUCUGCUGUGUGUGUUUCAAGACAGAGAGAGCAUUAAUUCUCCCUCUGCGAACAAAAUUGGAUGAAGAGUGUCAUCAUAAUAUACACCAGUUUUAACGGCGUUAAUCAAAAGUUGAAAAACUGCACCAAAACAACUCUUAAUUUAUGGCAGAUGCUUCUGAUCCCUUUGUCUCAUCUCUUGAUUCUUCUUGCUAAAUCCUAUUUCUAAGCAAAGCCUGUGAUUAAAAAAAUGACUGAAAUUUCAUUUCUUUUCCUGUGGGUGUUGUCUAAAUUGUUUGUUUUCUCUCCUCCCCUCUGGUUUCUGAUCUCUGCAUACCUAAAAAGGGAUCGAAAUUCAUUUUGAUCAAAAUGAUUGUCAGCUGGAAGAGAUUGAUGGGGAGACGAUCUCUAUUUGAGUGGCAUUAAGUUUAAUAAAUGGGGUCAACGUGAACUUAAUUUAAUGGUAAUUGACAUACCUCUCUAACCAAGAGAUCAUGAAUUUGAACUGGUUGUACUGAGAAAAAGUUUCUUAAGAAAUGGAGAUUUUUUUGUUUGUCUCGAUGAAUAGUGCUUCCCACAGCAUUCAUAAACAAAGUGGGAUUUUGAUUAAUCCACACACUAAUAAUGACUAAUUGUAUUGCUUCGGAGAUAUAUUUGUUGGUUUAAUUUCUUUCUUUGAAUACUGAUCUCGAACUUUUCUCUUAUUUUUGGUAGGAAUCUGUAAGCUUUGUCCAUGCAGAGAAGUUUCAUAUUUCCAUUAAAAGUAACAUAACAACAAAACAACUUUACAAGGAUAUAUAUAUUUUUUUUGUUGGCUUUUUCAAAUAUGAAAUGAAGAUGGAAGAUAGUUAAGAAUUGAGGAGUUUUUGGCAGAGGUUUGUUACAUGCCAUUUCAGGCUGCCUAGGAAAAGUCACCCACUGAAGAGCUUCAGAAUAUCACAUUAUAUUUUCCUUUCUCAGAAGGUUUUAUUUUUAUUUUUAUUUUUAUUUUUAUCUCUGUGAUUUCUCUUUUUGCCCCCCUUAGGCCUUAGGUUUCACAAAAGAGAGAUGUAUUGAUGAAUAGUGUGCAAGGAUUCUUUAAUUUUCAUUUACCACUACUGUUUUCUUUUUCCAAGUUUGGGAUUGGGUACUGUUUGGAAGCAGAAUACCAUGUAACUGAUCGGUAUGUACUUCUGGAAAAAUAAAAUAUUUGUGGGAGAAAUAUCUCUUGAUA